ACUGGUAGGAUUGGACUGCUCUUGGAACAAUCACAGCCUUAUCACUCGUAGUCAGCACCAUGACCAAGAAAGUUCAGCAGUGUUGCAGAAACAAAGCAAUUUCCCAAGAGUUGCCGAGAAAAUUCAGCGAAGAAAAAGAGGAAGAACCCAGCAACUCUGGGAAAGAAGUGGCUCAAGAAAUUUCUACUGCCAGUGAUAUUUUGCUGGUUCUUCAGGGGAAAUUCAAAAAGUUCAGUUGAGGAAGUGGGCAUAUGAUGGCAAAUGAUGCAGUUCAAGAGGGGAUUGACAGGGUUAUUGGCCUUGUGGAAGGGACUAAUGACCAGAACAUCACUUCUGAGGACUACAUGCGUUAUUACACCUUUGUUAUCUGUUGUGGUUGUGAUAUGGACUUGUGUAGCCUUAAGUCAGCUGGGUAGAGCUGUUUACAACAUCUGUUUCCCCAGCAACCUCCAUGUAAGUCAGCAAUUAUAUGAACAAUAUAAGAAGGUUUUUGAAGAGUACAUCAACUCCAAGGUUACCGGAUUUUUGAAGUUUCUAUACCCAUAUUGUUUAGUAUAUUCUCUCAACAGUCACAAGGACCACAAGACUUAACUUCACCUUUGUCAAACUUGAUAGAAAAUGGUUUUUUGAUAAUUUGAUAUCAAAAUAGGUUGUUUUUUAGGAUAAAUUUUAGGCAUUUUCAGUUAUUUUUGUUAUAUUGUUUUAAGAACAGUUAAUUGUUUAAGACUGUUUUCAAAAACUGUUUUAUUGAAAAUAUUCCCAGACAAACCUUUAAAAUUUGUGUUGUUCUUUUCUGUGUUGCCAUCUUUGCGGCGAAAAGAAGAUGAGCUUUAUGUUACAAGAACUAGCAAGAAGGUGGUCAAACCACAAUCGCUUGGGAGAUUCUUUCAUUAUCUUGAUAGAUACCUCACUGUCUUGAGGAGGCUUCCUUCACUCAAAGAAACUAGCUUCAGCUGCUUCUAUGAACUGGUUGGUGAUGGAACUCUAAUUUUGUCACAUAGCCAUACCGAUUUGUUCUAAAAGUUGGUCUGUUAGUGACUUCUCUUCUGCAUAUGUUCUUUCAUGUCAAACUUUAAUUUCAGGUGUUCAGCGAGGUGAAUGAUAAAGUGAGGAAUGCCAUUUUUUCUAUGGUAAGACCAUGUCUCAUUUGGAGUACAUUCAGGCUCAUAUUGACCAUGAAAGUAGUGUUUUUGUUUUUCUCAGUAUUUAAACUAUUUGAGGUUUUUGAUAGGCCUCCUAUACGUUAUGUGUAUAAUAGAAAAGGGAAGAGGAAUAUACUGCCACCUGGCAGUUAGUUGUAACAGCUUUAGUGUAGGUUAGGUCACAGUUGGAUACGGGCUGGGGGAUGGUUUAAAUAGGAAAAGAGGGGGAAAUAUUGUGGAUCUGGUAGGAGAGUGAUAGCCUCUCGAAUAGCUAUCUGAGGACCAGUUGGGACUCUUGUUUCUUGAAAUUCUUGAAAUUCAAUAAUAAUUCUCCAUUAGAUACCUAUCAGUUUUCAAGUACCACAUUUCUGUAAAAUCAUCAGAUCCUUGUGAUUUGCUCAAAAUUUCCUCCAUUUUUAUAUGUAAUCUUCGUUCAUUCGGUUCUCUUGGAGUGCUUAUUUGCUUUCAUCUGUCCUGCUAGACAAUACCUUCUUAUGGUUUCUAACUUAGUGAUUUCCCCACGAGGAAAAAAACCACCUCCAUAAGACAUACUGAACUUGGCUUGGAUUUCUUCUAUAACAAAGCAGAUAAUAAGGAUUGAGCUAAAUGCUAACCUUUGACCUAAGGUUAUUGUGAUUGGAGUUAUCCUUGCUUGUCCUGUGAUUGUUCUCUUGCUAAUUACAGUUUGAUCAUGUUGGAGAUGCGAUCUUCCAGAUUGAUCGGGAGUGGGAGGGUGAGCAGAUUGAUCAAGCCCUAGUGAAGAAUGUUAUAGACUUAUACAUGGAGAUGGGAAUGGGGUCUGUGGAAUUUUAUGAGAAAGACUUUGAACAAGCCAUGCUUGAAGAGGCCACUGCAUUCCAUUCCCAGAAAACCUCAAACUGGAUUACAAGCUAGUCCUAUGAGAAUUACAUGCUCAAGGCCCAUGGAUGCUUGAAACACGAAAGAGACAGUUUCUUACUACUUGCCAAGAAGAAGCCACAAGAAAUUGUUGCAGGCUGUGGAAUAUGAGUUGCUCUCUGCACAUGCUACUGAACUGCAAGAAAAGAAGGUGGGUGAUGGCAAAACUCCACCCCAACAGGUAGGUAUCAUACAAGCCUCAUCAAAAUUUCCCUUCUUCUUCUUGGAUGUGGGAUAUCAUAGCUGCUAGCCUGCAACUGCUGCUGUUGUACUAUUGGAGAUGUUGAAAUGGAUGAUACCAGCAAACAAGGGUUCUUUGAUCAUAAAAUACAAUGCUUUCACCAUGUUGUUGCUAAAAGUCUAUAUCAAUUUAGCAAGAAAAUAUUGAUUGCAUCUUUAUUCCAAAAGACAUACAUAAUCCAUUGAGUUGGUGUGUCUUGGAAAAAAAUGACUUUCACCCUUUGAAAACAUGGAAUAGACUCUUUUUAGCCAAAAAUUUAUUUUGUUGAUGAUUUUUAUACUUGUGUCA